UAGCCAUGCAUGUCUAAGUAUGAACAACUUUAUACUGUGAAACUGCGAAUGGCUCAUUAAAUCAGUUAUAGUUUAUUUGAUAGUACCUUACUACAUGGAUAACCGUGGUAAUUCUAGAGCUAAUACAUGCUUAAAGACCCGACUUCUGGAAGGGUUGUAUUUAUUAGAUAAAAAACCAACCGGCUUCGGCCGUUUGUGGUGAUUCAUAAUAACUUUGCGGAUCGCAUGGCCUUGUGCUGGCGAUAGAUCAUUCAAAUUUCUGCCCUAUCAACUUUCGAUGGUAAGGUAUUGGCUUACCAUGGUGAUAACGGGUAACGGAGAAUUAGGGUUCGAUUCCGGAGAGGGGGCCUGAGAAACGGCCACCACAUCCAAGGAAGGCAGCAGGCGCGCAAAUUACCCAAUCUCGACACGAGGAGGUAGUGACAAUAAAUAACAAUACGGAGCCUUCAGGUUUUGUAACUGGAAUGAGUACAAUCUAAAUCUCUUAACGAGUAUCAAUUGGAGGGCAAGCCUGGUGUCAGCAGCCGCGGUAAUUCCAGCUCCAAUAGCGUAUAUUAAAGUUGUUGCAGUUAAAAAGCUCGUAGUUGGAUUUCUGGUUUAGGGACGACUACAUCGCCUUCUGUUCCUCGAACGUACAGUAGUUUGUAGUUACUCCCUUGAUCAAAAUAAAUUGCUCAAGGUAGACCAAGUCUUCAUAUCUUCACAUGGAAUUGGGUGAGGGAACUUAAGAUGUUAAGUUUCUCGUCUUAGGAUCAUCUGGGGUCAUUCGUACUCGUCCGCGAGAGGUGAAAUUCUUGGACCGGACGAAGACGAACAGCAGCGAAAGCAUCUGUCAGGGAUGUUUUCUGCGACAAAGGACGAAGGUCAGGGUAUCGAAGACGAUUAGAUACCGUCGUAGUCCUGACUGUAAACUAUGCCGACUUGGGUCUUGCAGAGUCGUUACUUUGUGAGACCCACACAGAAAUGAAAGUGUAUGGGUUCUGGGGGUAGUAUGGACACAAGUCUGAAACUUGAAGGAAUUGACGGAAGAGCACCAUAAGACGUGGAGCUUGCGGCUUAAUUUGACCCAACGCGGGAAAACUUACCAGGUCAAGACAUGGGCGUGAUUGACAGGCUAAUGACCUUUCUCGAUUCCUUGGAUGGUGGUGCAUGGUCGCACUUAGUUGGUGCAGUGAUUUGUCAGGUUUAUUCCGGUAACGAACGAGACCUCGGCCUUGUAACUAGUACUUACUUCUUACAGGGACAAUGACGGCUACGUCAAGGAAGCUCGAGGCAAUUGCAGAUCUGGAAUGCCCUUAGAUGUCCUGGGUCGCAUGCGUGCUACAAUGACGACACGAGCGAGCUUGUGUGAUGAAAGUCAUGCAAAAUCAUGAAUCGUCGUCUUAAGGGACAGUCUCUUGUAACUGUGGGACUCUAACUAGGAAUGUCCCGUAAGCACAAGUCAACAU
rnacentral:rRNA from 1 species